GGGUCUGAUCCCGGCUCAGAUUGAACGCUGGCGGGAUGCUUUACACAUGCAAGUCGAACGGCAGCACGGACUGGUCUUGGUGGCGAGUGGCGAACGGGUGAGUAAUGUAUCGGAACGUGCCUAGUAGCGGGGGAUAACUACGGGCGAAAGGUAGCUAAUACCGCAUACGGCCCUUCGGGGGAAAGCGGGGGAAUCUUCGGGCCUCGCACUAUUAGAGCGCCUAUUAUCGGAUUAGCUAGUUGGUGGGGUAACGGCUCACCAAGGCGACGAUCCGUAGCUGGUUUGAGAGGACGACCACACUGGGACUGAGACACGGCCCAGACUCCUACGGAGGCAGCAGUGGGGACCAAUGGGGAAACCCUGAUCCAGCCAUCCCGGCGUGUGCGAUGAAGGCCUUCGGGUUGUAAAGCACUUUUGGCAGGGAAAGAAAUGGCACGGGAUAAUACCCCGUGCAACUGACGGUACCUGCAGAGAAUAAGCACCGGCUAACUACGUGCCAGCAGCCGCGGUAAUACGUAGGGUGCAAGCGUUAAUCGGAAUUACUGGGCGAAGCGUGCGCAGGCGGUCUGGAAAGAAAGAUGUGAACCAGAGCUUAACUUUGGAACUGCAUUUUUAACUACCGAGCUUAGGCGGUGCUUGAGAGGUGGAAAUCUGCGUAGCAGGGAAAUGCGUAGAUAUGCGGAUGAACACCGAUGGCGAAGGCAGCCUCCCUGGGAUAACAGACUGGACGCUCAUACACGAAAGCGUGGGGAGCAACAGGAUUAGAUAAUUCCCAGAACCACGCCCUAAACGAUGUCAACUAUUGUUGGGGCCUUCGGGUCUGGUAGCGCAGCUAACGCGUUGACCGCCUGGGGAGUACGGUCGCAAGAUUAAAACCCAAAGGAAUUGACGGGACCGCACGCGUGGAUGAUGAUUGAUGCACAACGCGAAAAACCUUACCUACCCUUGACAUGUCUGGGAAUCCCGAAGAGAUUUCCGGGAGUGCUCGCAAGAGAACUGAACACAGGUGCUGCAUGGCUGUCGUCAGCUCGUGUCGUGAGAUGCUGGGUUAAGUCUCGCAACGAGCGCAACCCUUGUCAUUAGUUGCUGUCAGGGCAAUUCCACAGAUUGCCGGUGACAAACCGGAGGAAGGUGGGGAUGACGUCAAGUCCUCAUGGCCCAGGCAGGGUCACACGUCAUACAAUGGUCGGGACAGAGGGUCGCCAACCCGAAGUAGGGGAGCCAAUCCCAGAAACCAUCGUAGUCCGGAUCGCAGUCUGCAACUCGACUGCGUGAAGUCGGAAUCGCCAGUAAUCGCGGAUCAGCAUGUCGCGGUGAAUACGUUCCCGGGUCUUGUACACACCGCCCGUCACACCAUGGAGGGUUUAACAGAAGUAGUUAGCCUAAACUGUAAGGGAGGCGAUUACCACUGUGAGAUUCAUGACUGGGGGUGAAGUCGUAACAAGGUAG
rnacentral:rRNA from 1 species